AGUGUCAAAGGUAGCAUAAUCACUUGUUCUUUAAUUGGGGACUGGUAUGAAAGAAAGUUUGAGGUCUAAUCUGUCUCUUUUUUGUUUUAAAAUUUGCUGUCUGUGUGAAGAAGCACAGGUUGUUAAAAAAGACAAGAAGACCCUUUUAAGCUUUAUUUAGAAUUCUUUGGCUUUUUCUUUCAAGAAUUUGGCUAAGGUCUAUAAAUUUGGUUGGGGUGACUGAAGAAGAUAAAAUCUUCUUUUGUUUAUUAGUACUUUAGGUUAAAAAAUGACCCAAGAUUUCUUGGUUGUAAGAAUUAGUUACUAAAGGGAUAACAGCGUAAUCUUUUCAAAGAGUUCUUAUUGAAGAAAAGGAUUGCGACCUCGAUGUUGACUUGCUUUUUUCCUGUUA
rnacentral:rRNA from 1 species